rnacentral:precursor_RNA from 10 species
UCUUUCAAGAGUUCCUGAUAUAAGAGCAAUAUUUCCAUGUCUCUUGAAAUGUAUGACAAAUGAGGCUGCCUUUCAGUGGUAUGGUGGUGUUGUCCAUUUUUGCUGCAUUUUUGUUGAGAA